rnacentral:tRNA from 2 species
GCCUUGGUAGUGUAGCGGUCAGCACCUGACCCUGUCGAGGUCAUAACUCGAGUUCAAAUCUCGGCCAGGGCG